rnacentral:rRNA from 1 species
CCUACGGGUGGCAGCAGUGGGGAAUAUUGCACAAUGGGGGAAACCCUGAUGCAGCGACGCCGCGUGAGCGAUGAAGUAUUUCGGUAUGUAAAGCUCUAUCAGCAGGGAAGAAAAUGACGGUACCUGACUAAGAAGCCCCGGCUAACUACGUGCCAGCAGCCGCGGUAAUACGUAGGGGGCAAGCGUUAUCCGGAUUUACUGGGAGUAAAGGGCGCGUAGACGGGCCUGCAAGUCAGAUGUGAAAGCCCGGGGCUCAACCCCGGGACUGCAUUUGGAACUGUAAGGCUAGAGUGUAGGAGAGGCAGGCGGAAUUCCUGGUGUAGCGGUGAAAUGCGUAGAUAUUAGGAGGAACACCAGUGGCGAAGGCGACCUGCUGGACGAUGACUGACGUUGAGGCUCGAAAGCGUGGGUAGCAAACAGGAUUAGAUACCCGAGUAGUC